rnacentral:tRNA from 6 species
GCCCCGGUAGCUCAGUGGAUAGAGCGUCUGCCUCCGGAGCAGAAGGUCGCAGGUUCGAAUCCUGUCCGGGGCACCG